GAUGAACGCUGGCGGCGUGCCUAAUACAUGCAAGUCGAGCGAACGGACGAGAAGCUUGCUUUUCUGAUGUUAGCGGCGGACGGGUGAGUAACACGUGGAUAACCUACCUAUAAGACUGGGAUAACUUCGGGAAACCGGAGCUAAUACCGGAUAAUAUUUUGAACCGCAUGGUUCAAAAGUGAAAGACGGUCUUGCUGUCACUUAUAGAUGGAUCCGCGCUGCAUUAGCUAGUUGGUAAGGUAACGGCUUACCAAGGCAACGAUGCAUAGCCGACCUGAGAGGAUGAUCGGCAACACUGGAAAUGAAAAACGGUCCAGACUCCUACGGGAGGCAGCAGUAGGGAAUCUUCCGCAAUGGGCGAAAGCCUGACGGAGAAACGCCGCGUGAGUGAUGAAGGUCUUCGGAUCGUAAAACUCUGUUAUUAGGGAAGAACAGAUGUGUAAGUAACUGUGCACAUCUUGACGGUACCUAAUCAGAAAGCCACGGCUAACUACGUG
rnacentral:rRNA from 1 species